GACGAACGCUGGCGGCGUGCUUAACACAUGCAAGUCGAACGGGAUGGCGAACGGGUGAGUAGCACGUGAGUAACCUGCCUUUUUCUUUGGGAUAACGCUCAGAAAUGGGUGCUAAUACUGGAUGGCGGGAGAUGGGCUCGCGGCUUUUCAGCUUGUUGGUGGGGUGAUGGCUUACCAAGGCGUUGACGGGUAGCCGGCUGGGAAGGGUGGGCGGUCACAGUGGGACUGAGAUACGGCCCAGGGUCCUACGGGAGGCAGCCGUGGGGAAUUUUGCGCAAUGGGGGUAACCUUAAUGCAGCGACGCCGCGUGAGGGAUGGAGGCCUUCGGAUUGUGAACCUCGUUUGGUCGUGUGCGGGUAGCGGGUAAAGAAGCGCCGGCUAACUACGUGCCAGCAGCCGCGGUAAUAC
rnacentral:rRNA from 1 species